ACAUCGGUGCCAUUCGGCACCACAUCAUCAAAGUGCCAAUAAACAU
rfam:Nelumbo nucifera unplaced genomic scaffold scaffold00049, whole genome shotgun sequence